rnacentral:rRNA from 1 species
UACGGAGGGGGUUAGCGUUGUUCGGAAUUACUGGGCGUAAAGCGCGCGUAGGCGGACUAGAAAGUUGGGGGUGAAAUCCCGGGGCUCAACCUCGGAACUGCCUUUGAUACUGGUGUUCUUGAGUUCGAGAGAGGUGAGUGGAAUUCCGAGUGUAGAGGUGAAAUUCGUAGAUAUUUGGAGGAACACCAGUGGCGAAGGCGGCUCACUGGCUCGAUACUGACGCUGAGGUGCGAAAGUGUGGGGAGCAAACAGG